AAGAACCAGUCGCCGAGAAUAGCAAUGGUCAUCCGGAACUGCAACGCCUGAGAGACAAAGAGCAGCCAGACCAUCUCAGGGAAACCCUCCGCGAACGGUGGUGAAUGUCUCAGGGAAACCUUUCCGAAGGGAUCCGGCGGAUUCAGGAACCCAUCGAAGGCCUUAGGAUUUAGUGUUCUAAUUCUCGUUAACAACAUCGGCAUAUUCUACCCCUAUGCGAGGGCUUGAGAUCAUCUUCGGAAGCCUAUUUGAGGUUGCAGAUCGCUGGUUCAGCGUUUGAUUAAACAACGGGGAACCUCUCUCUCUCUCUCUCUCUCUCUCUGUGAACCCAUUAGAAUUUUCAAUUUUAAAUUUUGAAUUUUGCAUCACUGGGUGUAGACGAGAAAAAAGAACCAGUCGCCGAGAAUAGCAAACGGUCAUCUGGAACUGCAACGCCUGAGAGACAGAGAGCAGCCAGACCAUCUCAGGGAAACCCUCCGCCAACGGUGGUGAAUUUCUCAGGGAAACCUUUCCGAAGGGAUCCGGCGGAUUCAGGAACCCAUCGAAGGUCUUAGGAUUUAGUGUUGUAAUUCUCGUUAACAACAUCGGCAUAUCCUACCCCUAUGCGAGGGCUUGAGAUCAUCUUCGGAAGCCUAUUCGAGGUUGCAGAUAGCUGGUUUGGCGUUUGAUUAUACGACGGGGAACCUCUCUCUCUCUCUCUCUCUGAACCCAUUAGAAUUUUCAAUUUUAAAUUUUGAAUUUUACAUCAUUGGGUGUAGACGAGAAAAAAGAAACCACUCGCCGAGAAUAGCAACGGCAUCCGGAACUGCAACGCCUGAGAGACAGAGAGCAGCCAGACCAUCUCCCUCCGCGAACGGUGGUGAAUUUCUCAGGGAAACCUUUCCAAAGGGAUCCGGCGGAUUCAGAAACCCAUCGAAGGUCUUAGGAUUUAGUGUUGUAAUUCUCGUUAACAACAUCGGCAUAUCCUACCCCUAUGCAAGGGCUUGAGAUCAUCUUCGGAAGCCUAUUCGAGGCUGCAGAUCACUGAUUCGGCGUUUGAUUAUACUACGGGGAACCUCUCUCUCUCUCUCUGUGAACCACCUCGCAUACCCCUUUCUUUCUGUCUGUGCACACCUCUCUUCUCUUUCUAUACUUGAGUGUAGGUGGUUUCAUGGGCCAAACCCUUUGUAGCUGAAAUUGACCUUCUUCCCAUCAAAUUCAAGUGUUUUUCUUAUUUAAAUAACUACCAUUGGAUGUCAUUUGUGUAGAAGAUAUCUAUGGGAUUUAGAUUUCUUUGGUACUUUGAAGAUAUCUAUGGGAUUUAGAUUUCUUUGGUACUUUCUUUGGUAGUAGAGCAGUGGGGAAGAUGGUCUCUGCCGAAUCCUUUAGUUAUGAAGACAACUCUUCAGGAUCGAGAACACCUGAGCAAGAAGAUAUGCUCAUCAGUCAUGACAAUGUUUUCUGUUAUUUUUUUCUUUCCUUUUGUACUACAGGACUCCUUUCUGGUCGUUCAUGGCGUUCUCCAGCAAAAUAGAAGACGAAGGAGAAGAUGAUAUCUCAGAAGAGAGGUAACUCACGUCUGAUUGUCGUUCCUACUACUCUCUAUUUUCCAUUUUUCAGGUAUAGUAAUUCUAACACAUUCUUUAUGCUGGAAACCUUAUUUUAUUUGUUCUCCUUUCCUUUCAUUUUCGUAUAUGAACUGGUUUCACUUAAGUUAAAAACGUCUUUGAAGUCACCUAAUUUCUAUGAACUUGGUCAUGAUGAGAUACAUAUGCUUCUCUACUUUUAUUAUUCAAUAUUUGCAUGUGCUUUGGCAUUAUUUAUUGGUGGGUUUAUAAAAAAUGCUGAAUUCAUCUGUCACUCAACUAUGAUGUAACUUUUUGGGAAAAUACGAAAUUGGUUAGACCUGAUAGGUGCCGACUGAUAUCCUGUCGAUUCGUGCAGAUUCAAUAGCUUUUUUUUCUUUUUUUUUUGAAUGAAUGACUCGCAUGAGUCUAUAUUUUCAGUUUUAGCCUGUUUGGAAGCUUCUCAUCCACAAGUUCUCUUUCUCACCUUCAUCAACACCACUCCCCCACCCCCACCCCCACCCCCACCCCACACCCAAAAAAAAAAAAAAAAAAAAAAAAAAAAUUCUCUACUUUCUUGGAUAACUGUUUGGGUGAAGGAGUGGAGGUAGAUUUGUAAAUUCUUUUGUGUAAACUAGCAUAGCCUUACCCAAAUUGAUUGUUCCAAUAAUGAAAUAACAUUUAUUUAUUUAUUUGCAAUAAACCCAGCAACACUGACUCUAUCUUCUUAGAAAGUAAAUCAACAGAUCAAUAACAAUAAACAAGGAUUUGGUGCACCCAUAAUGUGUAGGAGGAGGAUAAGAUUGUGGUGCAUUUGAUAUUUAUAUUCAACUAUGUAUAGUUUUAGCAUUGGUUUUGGCUCUUAGAACUCAUGUUGUUGGUUUUAUCGCUUAAUGUGUUUUAAGUCUAACUGAUUAAUAAGUACAUUUUUAGAGAAUUUACCGGCAGCAAUAGAAUUAUGGUUUCUUAACUUAGUGAUGCAGCUUGAAGGAUUUGAUGAUUUUUCUCUUGCCUCUUCAUGGGAAAGGUAUCCUAAUGUUUAGUAAAGCCUCUUUUCAUGUUAACAUAAGAUUUAUAGGACUGUGUACUUGGAGAUAUGCAAUGUUUCUUAUUUUUCAAUUUCAAAUUUGAAAUAGAACUGUUUGUCAUUGAGGCUAGAUUUUCUUCUUUUCUCCCUUAUUUUGUUGUUCAGUGAAUAGGGUGGUCAUAAUUAGCAUGGUGAUGUCUUCAUACAUCUGAUUGUUAUGGACUUCUAAUUAUUUCAGCGUCUUAAGUCUACACAUUUUAUUUGAACUUGGAAGCUUUGUAUAGAACGAUGAAUUUUACUAAAUUAGUUGAUGUGGCUAUCCUGAUCUAAUGAUUGCAGACUCCGUUUCCAAACCCUGACCCCCCCCCCCCCCGGGGAAGAAAAAAAAACUUUUGUAUGAAUAGUCCUGUUUACUUUGUUUAUUGAAAUGACUGCUACAUUCACACCAUUCUCUGGGUUCUAUUCUACAGUAUUAAUCAUGCAUUCCAUCUGGUGAUGCUAACAUCUUUGAACAGGGAGAUCUUCCAUAAGCUCAGACAAUGAUGACAAGAAUCUCUUCUUUCAGUCCCUAUGCAACAUCUUAGAUACCAGAUCUGAGGAGAUGGUUCUCCUUCUGAGAACCAACAAGUGACGGUUUGGAAAAUCUUGGCAUCAUGGUUGUUGGUAAAUGAGGGUGAUCUAGAUGCAUCAGUUGAUAUUUUACAUCAACUUGAGGCAAUUAACUGUUCCGAUUAUGAACUUUUUUUACUAAGUUGCCUUUACAGGUAAAUUUUAUUUUUGGCGGUACCUUGAAUGUUUUGAAAGUCUGAUCUUUUUGUUUUCCCUUUUUCUUUCAUUUUUCUAUUUCUUAUCAGGCAGUGCAUAUUUUCAAUUUAUUGAUUGGGGGCUGCCACCAAUAUUAUUUGUCUUCUAUUUUUUGUUUGUUUGAUUUUGUUUCUUUUGGGUGGUCUAUAGAAUAUGUCAUUUCAUGGUCAAUGAACCAACCUCAUAAAGAAUCUGAUGACAAAACAGUUAUAAUUUAAACUUUUUUCUGGAGUAGCAUCUCCUUUUUAUUGACAUUGUUUGUUGACAUUCAGAAUCAAUCAUCAGUCUUUUUAACUUAUUCUACUAUCUUGUUUAUUUCAGCCCAUACAUUUUGUAGUUUGUAAAAAAUGUAUUACAAUUGAACAGAUUCAUUCCUAUUGAUAAUGAAUUGUUAUCAACCUGAUUUUCAUGUUUGUUUAAAUUUUAUACAUAGUUUAGUUCUUCUGAUCUAGGAUUGAAAAAAAGAAAAAGAAAAAAAUAACUUCCAGAUUCUAGUUGAUCAGUUUAUCAGUGAACUAUUUCCUCUGUUUGCAGCUCUACCUGCAGAUGUUUCUCAACGUCUUCUAGACACAUCCUUUAGACAAAAUCGAACCACUCCUGGUGAAGGCUGUGGUUCUUUGUUUUUUUCAUUGAAAUCAACUUUCUAACUUGCACUGUAAAAACCUGCAAUGCGAGAAUGUUGGGAAAAGUGGUUGGAGGGGGAAAUUCUCUGUUCUGUUGAACUGAUGGACAUUGACCAUGGUUGGAAUAUGUAAUUUUUAGUUGCUAUGUUCAUUCCAUCUUUCCUCUUUGUCAUCAUGAGUUUUGCUUCAAUGGGAAAUCUCAGUGUAUACCUUGUGCAGUUUUUCUCUCGCAAAUUACUGUCAAUUUAAAAUGAAAGCAAGUUUCGUUUCAUCUUAUUGUGGAAGAUAGGGAAUUUUGUAUAGAUGUCUCUCUAUUGGACCUUUGUUAUGAUGUUUACCACAGCAGAGUGAGAAGAGCGAAUAAUUUCAAUUUCCACUUUAAUUACUGUUUUUUGUCAUCUUAUCUUUCUGUAAUCACAGAUGGAGAGUGGGAUGUGAGAACCGAAUUGUUUUAAAAGAAGCUAGUUCACUCUUUCAAUAGUUUAUAUAGAACUUCUCUACUGCCCAUUGAUAUUUGACAGCUUAACGCCUAUAAUAGAGCACAACACUCUUCGCUUAUUUCAUGUCCUUGUAAAGCACUGCUGCUGCAGAGUAAUCUCAGACUAGCUCAAAUUCAGGAAAAUAUGCACUGAAAUAACUCCAUAUCGAUAAAGGAAAUUUCUUAAUAUUAUUUCCCUACAUCUAUGAACUAUGUUUGUUACGCUCUUUGCCCUAGCACAUGCUUAUUGAUGUAAUCUUGUAAUGCCUAAUAUUUGUAAGUCAUGCAUUGCAAAUAUUUGGUGAACUUUUAAUUCUUUGAUCUGAUUGGAAAUCCUCUUAUUCAUCUUUGUUGAGUUUGCUCCUAAUUGUGUUAUCUUUAAGUUCAUUUUCCUGUGGAUUUACUGAUUCUGGGCAUCCAAUUUCUUCAUGCAUUGCAUUGGAUGCAAUCAAACUAUACAAAUAUGCUUGUGCCGAAUAUUUCUUAUACUUCAAAUACUAAAUGUUUUGAUAUGGACUUGGAUCUUUUUCAGUGAAUCCUAUUUUUGGAGAGGUAUUUUAUGUUUACAAGUUAUAUAUAGGUCAUUUAUUACCAAAUUUUGGUUCAUUUUUGAGGAGGUACUUUAUGCUUUCAAGUUAUAUAGUUCCAUUUAUUACCAAAUUUUGGUUCCUUCAUAUCUACUUUGUUUAAUGAACUUGAUUAUCCAGAUAUGGGAAAAGGCUUGAUUCUUGGGACUUUUACCAGUCUGUAAUGGACAGAUCAGUUUCGUAUCUAGGAUGAUCAGAUAGAAUGGAAGCUUAUACGGUCCCUUUUUUGUAAUACUUGGUGGUUCAAAACCCUAGUAUUCUGCGAUCACACAGUUAUUUGGAAGCCCGGUAUUAAAACAACCUCAGUCAACCGGUACCGGCAUCUUCUCUAGUACGAACACACUCUUUGUCCCUCCUGCUUCCAAUGACAGAUAGGGAAUGAAACUUCACUUGGAAAGAUAAGAGGAAAACAAAGGGUUGUGGUGUCUUUGAGAUAUAAAUUGAUAUCGAGAGAAAGGGAUCCUCCUCCUUGUUUCUUCACCUUCUAUUAUUGCUUCUCAUACACCCCACUAUUUAGCAGAUUACACAUAUCAGAUGAGUUCUUCUUCUUUUUCUUUAAUUUUUGUUUAGUUUUGUUUUGAGAAAAUCUUUUAAAAAGUGGUUCAAUUUUUGUGAGAUUUUUGUUGUGAAGAGCUAAAAUUUGUAGUUAUGAUUUUUGAAUUUCCAGUUUGUCUUGGUUGGUCUGCUUCAUAACUUUUGAUUUAAGAAAUUAGGUGGUUUACCUUUUUCUCCCUAUCGUCUCCCAAUUUUUUUGAAAUGGAUUUUGCUUACUUGAUGCUUGAAUCUUUCCUUGGAUUUAUUCUUCACAAUUCAGGGAUUGAUUUGCAUAUCUUAUUUAGAAUUUUUUGCCAUUGAUUUUGUUGUGGCAGUUGAAUUAGGGAAUCUGUUUCUUCCCAUCUAUUGUUAAAACCGAAAGUGGAUUUUUUUGUCAACCAAUAUACUAUUUGAUUUGAUAUUAUAAUAUAUGUUUCAUGUUGUCUUUUGUUGACUUGAUCCUUGAAAUUUUACUCGUUUAAUUGAGACACUAGUCUAGAAUUGCUUAUGACCCUUUUUAGUCUCCAGUAAGGUAUUUAGGAGGUUCUUCCAUCAUUUUUUUUUAGGGUUACAAAAAAACCUCUAGCGUUGUCCUCCCCUAAAUUCCUUGAGAAAUCAAUCACUGUUUUUAUUGUGGGUUUGAUGGUUUUGAAUACAUUUUUGGUGAAAAUAAAAGACUAGUUUUUUCAAAAGAAAUUCAUAGACUUGUGACCAGCUCUAUAAAUUUCAUUUUUCAGAUUUUUUUGCUUGAUAACAAGGAGUCAAAUAGUCCUUAAAAGAAGAAGAAACAUCUGUAGAUGUUCUAAUUCCUGGAGAGAUUGAUUGUAUGUCUGGAAGCAAUUACUUUUAUGGGAAUGCCUGAUGGUUCACUUUUAGAUCCAAUAGAAAAAGUUAGAUCUUGGAUCCCUUGGAGUGGAAUUGAUUUAUCCAAUAUCUACAGGGAAGUAUGGAUGCCUAACAAUAUGAUGUAAAUGGUUAUGUAUUGUUUCUCCAAUGAUUGUAUCCCAAAUACUCUCUGAUGAGCUCUGAUAUGAUCCCGUUUAUAAGUAAGCAUCUCUUGUAAA